rnacentral:rRNA from 1 species
AAAUAAUUUUACUGUGAAACUGCGGAUGGCUCAUUAAAUCAGUUAUAGUUUAUUUGAUAGUCGCUUACUACAUGGAUAACCGUGGUAAUUCUAGAGCUAAUACAUGCGUGAAGACCCGACUUCUGGGAGGGUCGUAUUUAUUAGAUACAAAGCCAAUGCGGGGCAACCCGGUCUUUUGGUGAAUCAGAAUAACUGAACGGAUCGCAUGGCCUCGUGCCGGCGAUGAAUCAUUCAAAUUUCUGCCCUAUCAACUUUCGAUGGUAAGGUAUUGGCUUACCAUGGUUACAACGGGUAACGGGGAAUUAGGGUUCGAUUCCGGAGAGGGAGCCUGAGAAAUGGCUACCACUUCCAAGGAAGGCAGCAGGCGCGCAAAUCACCCAAUCCUGACACAGGGAGGUAGUGACAAUAAAUAACAAUGCGGAGCUCUCUGAGUUUCGCAAUUGGAAUGAGAACAAUGUAAACACCUUAGCGAGAACCAAUUGGAGGGCAAGUCUGGUGCCAGCAGCCGCGGUAAUUCCAGCUCCAAUAGCGUAUAUUAAAGUUGUUGCAGUUAAAAGCUCGUAGUUGGAUUUCAGGGCCUGGAGUGCGGUCCGCCGAAGGCGAGCACCGCAUCUCUGGGGCCACCUUCCUGAGGACCCGUGUGCCCUUUACUGGGUGUGCGUGGGAGUCAG